CUCGAGGAGUAUCUUUGUGGUGUUCUUUGUAUUUCCUGAAUUUGAAUAUUGGCCUGCCUUGCUAGGUUGGGGAAGUUCUCCCAAUAUCCCGAAGUGUAUUUUCCAACUUGGUUGCAUUUUCCAUGUCACCUUCAGGUACACCAAUCAAAUGUAGGUUUGGUCUUUUCACAUAGUCCCAUAUUUCUUGGAGGCUUUGUUCAUUCCUUUUCAUUCUUUUUUCUCUAAUCUUUUCUUCACUUUUUUUUCAUUAAGUUGAUCUUCAAUCUCUGAUAUCCUUUCUUCUGCUUGAUUGGUUUUGGGAUUGAUACUUGUGUAUGCCUCACGAAGUUCUUGUGGUGUGUUUUUCAGCUCCGUCAGGUCAUUUAUGUUCUUCUCUAAACUGGUUUUUCUAGUUAGCAAUUCCUCUAACCUUUUAUCAAGGUUCUUAGCCUCCUUGCAUUGGGUUAGAACAUGCUCCUUUAGUUCAGAGGAGUUUGUUAUUACCCACCUUCUGAAGCCUACUAUUCGUUAAACUCAUUUUCCGUUCAGUUUGUUCUCUUGCUGGUGAGGAGUUGUGAUCCUUUGGAGGAGAAGAGGCAUUCUGGUUUUUGGAAUUUUCAGCCUUUUUGCACUGGUUUUUCCUCAUCUUCAUGGACUUAUCUACCUUUGGUCUUUGCUGUUGGUGACUUCGGAUGGAGUUUUUGCGUGGUCAUCCUUUUUGUUGAUGUUGAUGCUAUUGCUUUCUAUUUGUUAGUUUUCUUCUAACAGUCAGGCUCCUCUUCUGCAGGUCUGCUGGAGUUUGCUGGGGGUCCACCCUGUUUGCCUGGGUAUCACCAGCAGAGGCUGCAGAACAGCAAAGAUUGCUGCCUGUUCCUUCCUCUGGAAUCUUCAUCCCAGAGGGGCACCUGCCAGAUGCCAGCUGGAGCUCUCCUGUAUGAGGCGUCUGUCGACCUGUGAUGGGAGGUGUCUCCCAGUCAGGAGGCACGGGGGUCAAGGACCCACUUAAGGAAGCAGACUGUCCCUUGGCAGAGCUUGAGCGCAUUGCUGGGAGAUCCUCUCAUCUCUUCAGAGCUGGCAGGCAGGAACAUUUUAAGUCUGCUUAAGCUGCUCCCACAGUCGCCCCUUCCCCCAGGUGCUCUGACCUGGAGAGGUGUCAGUUUUAUCUAUAAGCCCC
rnacentral:lncRNA from 1 species